rnacentral:rRNA from 1 species
UGGGGAAUUUUGCACAAUGGGGGAAACCCUGAUGCAGCGACGCCGCGUGGUUUAGAAGGCCUUCGGGUUGUAAAAAUCUUUUCUAUGGGAAGAAAAUGACAGUACCAUAGGAAUAAGGACCGGCUAAUUACGUGCCAGCAGCCGCGGUAAUACGUAAGGUCCGAGCGUUGUCCGGAAUCAUUGGGCGUAAAGGGUACGUAGGCGGGUAAGCAAGUUAGAAGUGAAAUCCUAUAGCUCAACUAUAGUAAGCUUUUAAAACUGCUCAUCUUGAGGUAUGGAAGGGAAAGUGGAAUUCCUAGUGUAGCGGUGAAAUGCGCAGAUAUUAGGAGGAAUACCGGUGGCGAAGGCGACUUUCUGGCCAUAACCUGACGCUGAGGUACGAAAGCGUGGGUAGCAAACAGG